rnacentral:lncRNA from 1 species
CACGUUGGGGAGAGUUAAAAGACUUAGAACUUUUAGGAACUUUUAACACUUGAUAACUCUACAACUAUUUUAGACUUCGGAUACUUGGAACUCGGGAUUUUCUUCUAACCGACAUAAACUAUGUGAGCUACAUGGAGUCAAAUGUCUUGCCCACGUUGGGGAGAGUUGUUCUUUCCUUGCCAUCGGAGUAGAACUUCAUCUUUAUUGAUCACUAUCUCGUCCUUGGGUCCAC